rnacentral:rRNA from 1 species
AUUGAACGCUGGCGGCAUGCUUUACACAUGCAGGUCGAACGGUAACAGGCCGCAAGGUGCUGACGAGUGGCGAACGGGUGAGUAAUGCAUCGGAACGUGCCCAGUCGUGGGGGAUAACUACUCGAAAGAGUAGCUAAUACCGCAUACGAUCUAUGGAUGAAAGCGGGGGACCGUAAGGCCUCGCGCGAUUGGAGCGGCCGAUGUCAGAUUAGGUAGUUGGUGGGGUAAAGGCUCACCAAGCCAACGAUCUGUAGCUGGUCUGAGAGGACGACCAGCCACACUGGGACUGAGACACGGCCCAGACUCCUACGGGAGGCAGCAGUGGGGAAUUUUGGACAAUGGGCGCAAGCCUGAUCCAGCAAUGCCGCGUGCAGGAAGAAGGCCUUCGGGUUGUAAACUGCUUUUGUACGGAACGAAACGGCUCUGGUUAAUACCCGGGGCUAAUGACGGUACCGGAAGAAUAAGCACCGGCUAACUACGUG